ACUAGACGCUGGCACCACAGAAAAACCAUUUAUUUUUGAAAAUGGAACAAGUUACUGAAAAACAGAAGAUUUUUUGAGCAAUUUGACACAUUCGUACUUGAGUAACCGUCUGGGUAACUGUUUAAUAUUAACUGCAACCUUUUUUAUAUAAAAUACAUAAAAUAUAUAAAAAUACGACCACUUUAACAAUAGAUAUUUCUCUUCGUACAAAUUAAACAACUAAACAGCAUCAUGCUUAGGUGUCCUCCAGUAUGGCCAGCAAAUGAUCCGUGCUGGCCCAGCGCGGGCGUUAAGUCCGGCCCGCGGGACGGCCGCUGCAUCGACGGCAAGCAGGACUACCCGUACCCGAGGCUCCCCGUCUCCUACUGGUAGACACGACACUGGAAUGUCUACUGGUUCACUGUCUGUCACGUGAAUACUGGUAGACACGGGUCAUCGUAUAUUGUCAAGUGAAACAGUUUUGUAAUAAAUUUAUUGAAAUUA